GAUGAACGCUGGCGGCGUGCCUAAUACAUGCAAGUCGAGCGAACAGACGAGGCGCUUGCUCCUCUGACGUUAGCGGCGGACGGGUGAGUACCACGUGGAUAACCUACAUAUAAGACUGGGAUCACUACGGGAACCCGGAGCUAGUACCGGAUAAUAUAUUGAACGGCAUGGUUCAAUAGUGCACGCGGGAUUUGAUGUCCCUUAUACAUAGAACCGCGUCGCAUUAGUUAGUUGGUAAGGUAACGGCUUACCAAGGCAACGAUGCGUAGCCGAUCUGAGAGGGUGAUCGGUCACACUGGAACUGAGACACGGUCCAGACUCCUACGGGAGGCAGCAGUAGGGAAUCUUGCGCAAAGGGCGAAAGCCUGACGGAGCCACGCCGCGUGUGUGAAGAAGGUCUUCGGAUCGUAAAACUCUGUUAGUUGGGAAGAACAAAUGUGUAAUUAACUAUGCACGUCUUGACGGUACCUAAACAGAAAGCCACGGCUAACUACGUG
rnacentral:rRNA from 1 species